rnacentral:tRNA from 1 species
UGGCUCAGUGUUAGAGCGCAUGCCUUGCAUGCAUGGGGCCCUGGGUUCAAUUCCUCAG